rnacentral:rRNA from 1 species
CACGUAGGGGGCGAGCGUUGUCCGGAUUCAUCGGGCGUAAAGGGCGCGCAGGCGGCCCGGCAAGUCGGAUGUGAAAACUCGAGGCUCAACCUCGAGCGUGCACCCGAUACUGCCGGGCUUGAGGCAGGUAGGGGAGAUCGGAAUUCCUGGUGUAGCGGUGAAAUGCGCAGAUAUCAGGAGGAACACCGGUGGCGAAGGCGGAUCUCUGGGCCUGUCCUGACGCUGAGGCGCGAAAGCUAGGGGAGCGAACAGG